GUGGAUUAGAUACCCUGGUAGUCCUAGCUGUAAACGAUGUGAACUUGGCGUCGGUGGCUUAAACUCCAUCGGUGCCGCAGCUAACGCGAUAAGUUCACCGCCUGGGGACUACGGCCGCAAGGUUAAAACUCAAAGGAAUUGACGGGGGCCCGCACAAGCAGCGGAGCGUGUGGUUUAAUUCGAUGCUACACGAAGAACCUUACCCGGGUUUGACAUACAGGUGGUAGGGAUCCGAAAGGUGACCGACCCGCAAGGGAGCCUGAACAGGUGUUGCACGGCCGUCGCCAGCU
rnacentral:rRNA from 1 species